AACACAUAGAAAAUAUUAAACUCCUGGAACCCCUCGCAGACUUAAUAUGUCACCAGAUCCAGAGCCUCACACGUCAGUUGAAAAGGGCAGUUCCUGGGGCAAUCCGUGGAGACCCAUCUCCAAUGACAACCAGCUAAGCAAGUGUGUGCAGCUUGCCCCAUCUGGGACCCCUCUGCUGGUGGCUGUAACGACAGGCACACGCGCGCUUCCCAUCCACUACGCACAGGCACAAUGGCCAGAACUAGUUGAAGUAGCAUGAAAGUAUUCUGGAAAUAUUCAAUUCAAGAUAGUCUUUAUUGCUGCCGGGGUUUAUUUUAGUUGCUUGAGAAGAUCGAGAAGGGAAGGGAAAACUGAUUUUACUCAGCCAGCUGUUCCUUUUACCCGCUUGGGUAAGACGCAAAAGUAAUUUGCUCCUUUCUGUGUGACCGAUCUGCAUGUGACUCUCCCCUGGGUCUCCUUGGGCCUCUUCAGACUUUCAGGCAAAGAGAUUGGAUCCCAGCCAAGUAACCACUCCAGAGUUCGAAAGCCCUCAUUAUCUGGCCAUCCCUUCAAUGUCUGUCUUCAGCCCCUUGCUCUGCGAGGUGUUAUCACCUCUGGUUUAGAUCUCAGCAGAGGGGUGCAGAGAAAAGAAUUUAUUUCACAUGCAGUUACAAGGAAUGCGAAAAAUUUAUUUUACAAGCACUUCUAAUGAUAAUGCUGGAAGAAGAGAGCAUCUAAUGAAUGUUUCUUCUUGCAACCUUGCUGCCAUAUUGUGAGGAAGCUCAACUCAAGCAUCAUCACACAGAGAGAGCUCUGGAGAAGAGCAAAGUCCCCUGACUGUCAGCCCCAUCUGACA